rnacentral:rRNA from 1 species
CCUACGGGUGGCAGCAGUGGGGAAUAUUGGACAAUGGGGGCAACCCUGAUCCAGCAAUGCCGCGUGUGUGAAGAAGGCCUGAGGGUUGUAAAGCACUUUCAGUGGGGAGGAGGGUGAUUUGGUUAAGAGCUGAGUUAUUGGACGUUACCCACAGAAGAAGCACCGGCUAACUCCGUGCCAGCAGCCGCGGUAAUACGUAGGGUGCGAGCGUUAAUCGGAAUUACCGGGCGUAAAGCGUGCGUAGGUGGUUGAAUAAGUUAUCUGUGAAAUUCCUGGGCUUAACCUAGGGUGGUCAGAUGAUACUGUUUAACUCGAGUAUGGGAGAGGGUAGUGGAAUUUCCGGUGUAGCGGUGAAAUGCGUAGAGAUCGGAAGGAACACCAGUGGCGAAGGCGGCUACCUGGCCUAAUACUGACACUGAGGCACGAAAGCGUGGGGAGCAAACAGGAUUAGAUACCCGUGUAGUC